CUCAGUCUCACAGUGAGGGAAUCAGUGAACCCUAGCUGCCCUCUGAAGUCUGAACCCUAGCCGCCCAGUCGCCCUCCAUCGUCGCCGCGGUCUCGGGUUGUCAGCACCACCGCCGUCGCCUGGUCCUCAGCCCCAGUAGCCCUCCAUCGUCGCCUGGUUCCCUGCCCAGUAGCCCUCCAUCUCCAUCGUCUUCAUCUUCUCAACACCAGUAGCCCUCUCAUCGUCUUCAUCGUCGCGUGGUCCUCAACAUCAGUAGCCCUCCAUCGACCCCAGAUGUUCUCCAAACUGAAAGAAGGAAGAUUUUCCAGAGAAAUAGAGUUGAAAAAUCUGAUUACCAAAAAGAUGGCUAAUUCUAGACUUGCAGAUGGUGUGCCAGAAUUGUGGCCAUAGGUCAUCUACAUUUUGUUAAAGUUAGAAUAGAGAGCACAAAUGAUGGAACUGGACCUGCCUUUGCUUUGUAAAGUAGAGGUUGGUGUAUAGAUAUCAUAGGAAUAUUAUGUUACAAUGUCUUUAGUUGUUUAAAAAUUAGAAUGUGAACUCUAUACUGAAAUGACCAAGUAAUGCUUUUAUUA